rnacentral:misc_RNA from 1 species
UUUCCGUAGGUGAACCUGCGGAAGGAUCAUUACAAAAUGUUAUGGGAUGUCCUAACGGGUACCCAAGCAAACACAUCCAUAUUAAACUUUUGAAACAAUUACUAGUCUGAUAAGGCCAUAUGCUGUAAAAAUUUAAAUAUAUUAAAACUUUCAACAACGGAUCUCUUGGCUCUC